AACGUAGGACGCAAGCGUUAUCCGGAGUUACUGGGCGUAAAGCGCGGGCAGGCGGUCUUGCCAGUCUGAUGUGAAAUCUCUCAGCUCAACUGGGAGCAGCCAUUGGAAACUACAAGACUGGAGUCUGACAGAGGUAGGCGGAAUUCCGGGUGGAGUGGUGAAAUGCGUAGAGAUCCGGAGGGACACCAGAGGCGAAGGCGGCCUACUGGGUCAGUACUGACGCUGAGCCGCGAAAGCCAGGGGAGCGAACGGG
rnacentral:rRNA from 1 species